UCUCUCUGAAUCUGCGAACGGCUCCGCAAACCAGUUGUAAACUAGAGCAAGCUAGUCUGGCGGGCUUCGGCCUCCAGGCGAUAUGGAUAACCCUGGUAAUUCUGAGGCUAAUACAGGACCGCAAAACCGGGCAGCCCAGCAAUGGAUGCCCGGGGCUGUGCGAUAUGGCUUGACAAUGACCGGGAAAGGACGCACACUCAGACCGCGCUACAAAGGAUCGGGACUCCCCUCGGGGAACCCGGCCCCAGCGGCUCUUGCUGUGUGCUUCUGACCUAUCAACUAGACGGCAGCGUAAUGGACAUGCUAUGGUGACAACGGGUACAGAGGAUUAGGGUUCGAUCCUGGAGAGUGGGCCUGAGAGAUU
rnacentral:rRNA from 1 species